GAAAUUCGAAGUGAAAUACAAACAGAUUAAGAAACAAUUGUAUUUAAAAAAAAAAUCAAAUUAAGUAGAUUAACAUGACUUGUCUCACAGGGUGCUUAAAAACACCACUACAAGGAAAAACAUCCAACAUAUGUUUACAAAUCUGAUUCCCACCCCCAAAAUUAAAAAUAAACAACAUUACUAAUUAAUAUCCAUGUGAUUCCUAGGUCAGGGUUAGAGAUAAAUCACAAAAAAUAAUUAAAAGAAAAAGUAGAGUGAAGAAAGAUGGUUGAAAAAAGAAAAGCAAAUUGCUUCAUCUUGAACCCAUCUUUCUAUCACUCAAAAUUUAACCCUUACACCUAAUAUUCACAUAUUAUUUUCACCAAAUAAUUUAUUAUCUAAGGACGGAAGUGAGUGAUUGAAAAACAAAUUCUUCACAAGGAAUUGUAAUUCCCAUGUCAUGAUCGAACCCAAAUUCUUCCUCAGCGCAACGAAGGAGACAUUGAAACUCAGGAUGACUCAAAAAAGAAAUAGGUACGAUGUAUCGACUUCUAUUUUCUCCAACGUAAACUGCAAAGUGUCCUUUUGGUACGUCAAUUGGAAGGCGGUCUUCGCUAUCAUAGUCGUACUUCUUAAUCAAACUAGAACAUUUUUUCAUAAUUUGCUUUAAAAGUACAACUUGUGGAAGUUUGUUUGAUUUUCUAAUGGCCAUUUUGGUAUGUAGAAAUUUUAAAUGUAAUGUAGACUUGUGAUUUUGUUUGAGGGAAUAUGAAGCUAUUUAUGAAGGAAGUUUGUUUUCAACUUUGUUUUAAGUAUAAUAUUAUUUGUAUUAAUGUGAGGUGGUGGGGUAUGUGGAAUUGUGGAUUAGAGGAAAUAGGACAAGAUGGGACCUAAAGCCCAUAGGAUUUUACAACUCUAUGUUGGUUCUAAUAUGACAAAGAGGACCCUUGCCAACUUAGGUACAUAAAAAAAAUUUAAAACUCAUGUUUAGAUUGAGAAUUAAAUGGAGCGUAAAAUAAAUUAUAGAUGUUUUAUAUUAUAAAAUUAUCAAAUAAGAGUUUGAAGUUAAUAUAUUAUUAUAUAAAAUGUUAAUUUUUAGGCUGAUCAAAUAAAAAAGAAUGUCAUAUACGUUAGAUAUAUUACAUAUAAAAUUUCUCCAAAAUUUAGUUAGAAUUAACGUUAUUUCAUUUUUACUAGAAAUAAAAAGGGAAAACUACACAAAUUUUAAUUAUUAGGCAAAAUAUUUAUUCCAAUUGGACCCGGCCAAACUCAUAUAUUUAUUUCGUAAUUAAAACUAUUUACAUGACUAUCUCUAUUCAAUGAACCAUUGUUGAUACCAAAAGUAUAUAUAUACUAUCAGGGGCAGACUCACUUUUAUCAAAAGAUCGAAAAAUUAUUUUGCACAUAAAAAUUAAUAUAUAUAUAUAUAUAUAAACAUUUUUUAAUAUAACUUAAAAUUUAAUCUAGCGAUUAUUAUUGUGAAAUCGUAUAUUUUAGUCCUACUAGCCUCAUUCUUCCUGGCAUCGAAGCACGGGGCUUGUGCUCUCCUUAUCAAGAUUAGGUAUUUCUUAAAUUUUAUUAAAGACAAAUUGGUUCCUUGGAUUAACAAUUUAUAAUAUUAUGAAUUGAGGCGAAAUAAUAUUAUUUAAUUUGCAGCACCAUAAAAUAAGUAAUUAAGUAAUCUCGAAAACAGAAGAAGUGACAAUUGAACGUACAAGAGGAAAAGGCACCGCAGAGAAAUCACGAGCAAUAAAGUAAGUACUGAGAAGUACAACUUUUAUUAUAUUAAACUAUUAUAUAAAAUAAUUUAUUAAAAUAAUAUCUUUAUAAUAUUUUAUAAAUUUAAUAUAAACGUAUUUUAUAGUAACAUUUUAAGGUAUAUAUCAUUUUUUUAAAAAUUAAAUAAAUAACAUUUUACUCCUAAAAUGUUAUUUUGAUUAACGUUUUAACGUUUUAGGAGUAAAACGUUACUAUAAGUAAUGUAUAUCAAUCUAACGCCGUCAGCUUUUAAAAAAUAAAAUAUACCCUGAAACGUUACUGUAAAAUAUAUUUAUACUAAUUUAUAAAAUUUUAGAAAAAAAUAUUAUUUUAGUGAAUUGUUUUAUAUAAUAACUUACUUUGAUCAAAAUCUCCUAAGAAGUACCUUACUUUUUUCAAAUACUACCGAGUUUAGUUCUUUUAUGAAUAUUUGGUUUCAGCUUUACUUUGAUUCUAUAUAAUAUACAUACAAAUACAAAUGCGAAAGAAAAGCUUAGUACUCCAUCGUUAUUUACAGUUUCACGUUAUCACCUUUUCAUUUUCUACCAUAUUGAUUAUAUGAUAUAUUGAUAUAUUAAUUAAUAUUAAUAUUAUUGAGAUGUUGAUUAAUAUGAAUAGUAUUGAUGAUUAUAAUGCUGAAUAAAAUUGUAGAGUAUUAAGUUAGCUAUAUUUAGAGUCCUAUUAUAAUAUCUAUACUACUAUUAUAAUAAUAAUAAUAAUCUAAAUCCUAAUCAUAAUAUGAUUCUAAUAGUAAUUCUAUUCAUAAUAUAAUUUAAUCAUAAUAUAAUUAUAGACAAAAUAUAAUUCUGAUUAACAUAAUUAGUCUAAUCCUAAUUAACAUAAUUAGUCUAAUCCUAGUGCGACUCUAAUUCUAUAAUAGUGUUGUAAUUCGUUAGUUAACUGCGUUAGACCUGAUCCUUUAACAUGUUCCAAUGGUCAGUUUCCUUCUUCUUCAACACAAAUCUCUAUUUAUAAAGUACUAAACUUUUUUUACCAGAAAAAGAAUAGCCGCCAAAUAUGAAAAUUUUCUAUUUUUUUUAAAAGAAAAAUUUAUUUAUGGUAAAAAAACUCAUCAAAGUUAAUACCCAAUACGAAUUAUAUCACAAAUUAUCACCACCCAUCAAUUAUCACGCAUCUUAAAUUUAUGAAUAUUUUACAAGUUAUUUAUAAUAUUUAUCUGUAAGAUCGAACAAUACUGGGGAAGCUAAAUCGGUGGAAUUAUAUUGCAUUGUUAUUAAUUAUUGUGAGUUGUCAGGUUCAAUUAGCUAAGACUUAUCGGUAGCCCCAUCUAUGGUCUCUUAAUUAGGGGAAAUAUAUUGACAACACACCACUUCGGUGAUUAAAAUGUUUCAUUUCGACUUGUAAAAUCACUAGUUUUAAUCCAGCCUGUAUUGGGAUUGUUCAUGAUUUAUAAAAAAACAAGAGAAAAAAAAGGCAAGCAAUUUUGUUUGAUGAAAAUGAUUUAGAGCCUGUUUGGCUCAGCUUAAAAGCUGGUCAAAUUGAUUUAAAAGCUGGUUUUUGACUUAUUUAGCUGUUUGGCAAUACUUAAAAUAACUUAUUUUAAGUUUAAAAAAACUUAUUUUAAGCCAAAAGCGAGGUAGGGGUGCUUUUUUUUUCCCAGCUUAUAAGCUGUUUUAAGUUGACCACAUUUUUACCUUUUUGCCUUUAAUAUUUUUAUACAAUCUCCAAAUUACCCACAUAACCCAAACAUCUCUUUCUUCUAUUUUUCCCUUUUCACGUGUGGAUGAUAGACAAUUAUUAUUACUAAUGAAUGAAAAUAAAAUAAAUUAUAUAUUAUUAAAAUGUAAAAUAAGUUGCACAUAUAACUUAAAUAAAAAUUUAUAUUCCUCUUAUAAAUAAUUUGUGAUAAUAAAGAAAUAUGUGAAUGAUAGACAAUUAUUAUUACCUAUAGAUGAAACUAAAAUAAAAUCUUAAAUCGUUCUUUAAUCUAUUCAAAUUAUAUACCUUUAAAAUCUAUUAUAAAUUUAUAUUCCUCUUAUAAAUAAUUUGUGAUGAGAAAGAAAUAUGUGAAUGAUAGCAAAAUAUAAUUAUUUAUGGCUGUAAAAUAUAAAUUUAAUUAACUUUUAUUAUGUUAAUAGCUUUUAAGAGUAUUUCAGACAUUUUGAUUUAAAAAGCUGUUUAUCAGCACUUCUUUGCCAAACACAUCAAUAUUUUUUUUUAACUUCAGCACUUUUAUCCAAACGCAUAACUCCUUAUUUUAAAAAUAAGUUUCAGCACUUUCAAAAGUAUUUUUUUUAAAGCUGAUUUUAUUAAGCCCAUCUAAACGGACCCUUCGUUACUGAAAAUAGAAUAGGAUUUUGCGAUUUAUCUUCGAAACGGUCUUUUAUUUACAAAAGAAUUAUUAGGACAGUCUGAUGUACUAAUCUCCUGUAAGCCGGAUCUGGGGUAAGACUCACGUUAUUAUCAAACAAUGAUCCCCAUAUAUUCAAACUCCAAUAUGAAGGUCAUAGAAUUGAAUAAAUCUCCCCAGAUAAAUUGAAAGAGGUGUUGGAUCCAUUAUGAGAGGAGGAAAAAAAAAAAAAAAAAACAAGUUAGAGACACUAGUAUCUGUUUAGCAUGUUCAAAGGCUUACAAACUGAUUCACAUAUCUGUCAAUCCUUUAUUGAUGUGUUACGACGCACUUUACGUAUAUAUGUCCAACAUUUAUGUCUUUCUAUUGAUUUACUCCUUUUUAUAUAUUUGUUUUCCGUCUGAUACUCGAUGGUCAUAAAAAAAUCUCAAAUUAGAGAUAAAACAUUCACUAACAAAGUCAAACUUUGUAUAGAAGGAGGCUCAAAUUUGAAACGCCUUGAUUAAAGAUGAAAAAUUACUUAGCACUCUAGUGUUAAUCCGUUUGACACUCACCUACCCCUUUAUGACUUCAUUUCCUCUUACACAAGUACACAACGCAGUCUAAUGAAGAGAACUAAGGAUGAAAGAAGAAAAAUAUUCUGAACCUUUUUAGUAAUUUAGUUGGUUGACGAUUUGAAUUAUCACUUUCUUAUUGAAAGUUUGACUCCCGCCUUAAAAUCUCAUCCCCAUUUUCCCUAAUUCCCUGACCCGAUUUUUUCUUAAAAAACAUGACUCAAAUGUAAUCAAAUGAAAAUUAAAGUCAAUUAGUUUUUCCUAUACAUAGUUAGUUGCUUGAUAUUCAUGGUAGUGGUAAAGGAUUUUAGUAUACUGCGUCCUAGAUCAAAAUAAGCAAAUACGGCGGUGACAAUAUCUUGAGUACUGAGUCCCCGGUCAGUCCAAUGACAUAUAAACAAUUUCAUGUAUGACGGAGACGAAGGUCUCUACAUAGCACAUGGAGACAUGUUAUCUUUGAAGUAAUAGAUUGAUAUAUUUCACUCACAAUAAGUAGUGUCUACUAAAGAUAAUUUUGUAAGGACCUGUGUGAUCAAUAUCACCACCAACUACUUGAAACUGCCAUCUUAACUUAGUUAUCGGAGAUCACAUUCGGCGAUUUGAACCUAUAACCUUGUAACAAGAGGUGGAGUAUGUUCAUUGCUAUUUAUCCCGUCAUAAGAUAGAAUAAAAAACAAAUUAGAAAUAACAUAUAAAAUAAUUUUAUCAAGAAGAAAAUAGAGUCUACUAAAUGCAUAUUGACCCUUUAAUUGAGUUAUUUUCCUCAAGUAGUCGAGGUUAAUGGAAUAUAUCCGAUCUUACUUAACGGUUAAUCGAUAUCUAUAAUGACGAUGUCAGCAAACCACUCAACAACAGUAAAAUACACUUAGAAUACUAGAUUUAAUAUUAGUAAAAGAAGCCUAGAAAAUUGGUUAAUAAAAAUAAGAGAAAAUCUCUCUAUUUAUAGACAUCCGAAACUAAAACGGUACGAAAUUUUAACAAAAAUUCCAAAACGAUAAAUAAAAUUUUAUAUUAACCAAAACGGUAAAAUCGCUGCAGGCGCAGCGACUUACCUCACCUGAAAAAGUAAAAUCGCUGUUGAGAUAGCGAUUUUGCAAAAAUUAUUUUUUUUUAAUAAAAAACUGAAAUCGCUGCCUAAGCAGCGAUUUCAAAAUUUUGCUUCUUCCAAAUUGCUGCUUUGGCAGCGAUUUCAUAUUAUUUUUUAAUUAUAAUUUUUUUUAAAAAAAAAGGUAUAUCGCUGCCAGUGCAGCGAUUUACCAAAAAAUAAUAUUUUUUUUAUAAUAUAAAUCGCUGCCACUGCAGCGAUUUAUAAAAAAAAUAAUUUUUUUUAAUAAUAUAAAUCGCUGCCAAUGCAGCGAUUUAUAAAAAAAAAUAAAAAUUGUAAUAAAAGCAAAUUAAUGAGUUGUUUAUUGAGAUAUAGUAAUUUACAUUAGAAAAAAAGUAAAAUUAAUGAGUUUUUUUAUUGAGAUAUAGUAAUUUACAUUAGAAAAAAAAAGUAAAAUUAAUGAGUUUUUUAUAAAUCGCUGCACUGACAGCGAUUUAUAUUAUUAAUUUUUUUUAUAAAUCGCUGUCACUGCAGCGAUUUAUAUUAUAAAAAAAUAAUUUUUUUUGGUAAAUCGCUCCACUGGCAGCGAUAUACCUUAUUUUUUUUAAAAAAAAUUAUAAUUAAAAAAUAAUAUGAAAUCGCUGCCAAAGCAGCGAUUUGGAAGAAGCAAAAUUUUGAAAUCGCUGCUUAGGCAGCGAUUUCAGUUUUUUAUUAAAAAAUAAUAAUUUUUUCAAAAUCGCUGCCUCAGCAGCGAUAUUACUUUUUCAGGUGAAGUAAGUCGCUGCGCUGCGCCUGCAGCGAUUUUACCGUUUAGGUUAAUAUAAAAUUUUAUAUACCGUUUUAGAAUUUUUGUUAAAAUUUUGUACCGUUUUAGUUUCGGAUUCACAAAAAGGUAGUGCAAACAAAUGCUUAUGGUGUCUUAUCAAAAACGACGCGAUCUUUUGAAAAGUUAUAACCUUUUGAAAUGGUCAUAACCUUUCACAAAAGUCACAAUUUUUCAUAAAAAUUAAAAAUUUUCCAUAAAAAUCAUUUUUCAUAAAAAAUACAAUUUUUCAUUAAAAAAUUAAAAUCACAACACUUCAUUAUUCAUUCACAAAUUUUAAAAAACUCAAUAUUUAUCACCUCAGUGAUUUUUUAAAAUAUAAAAAAUACGUAGCAAUUAGCGAAUGUUAUAUUUUCGCUAUAUAUGGAAGCAGCAACAAAACAGGUAGCUAAGUAUGACAUUAUACAUUCCAUGUAACUGAUUAAUCUUUAAUUUGGGGUUUGCUGUAAAAUUAAACCAAUAUAUUAUUAGGAUCAUUGAGUUUGUAUUUGCUUCACUUUUUCUAACUUAUUUUUUCCAAGCCAUAAUUACAUGGUUAAUUAAUUAAUUAGCGGUGGGAAGUAUGAAAGAAUCAAAAACUUAAAGAUAAUCAAAUUCUCACUCAACUAAGAGUAGUCAUUUUUAGAAAGUCACUUAAAUUUGUUUAUAAUCCAAAAAUCAUUCAAUUAAGGGUGAUUCUAUUCAUUCUCGAUAUUUAAUCAUUGAUAUAUUUCAAUGUAUGUUUAAUAAAUUCACUAUUUUUAUUUCUUUUUGAAAUAUAUUGAACUUUUUAAAGAACGGACUGAAGACCCUUUGGAGCAAAUGUUAAACGAUAAUUUAAUUAAUAAUCAGCUAAUUAAUUAAUAAUAUUGCAUGUGAGUGGUCCGAUUAAUCAAUUCAGUGUUUAAUUUUGGUAGCCCUAUGGUCUCUUAAUUAGGGGAAAUAUAUUGACAACGUGAUGUUUGCGUUCUAACUUCCAAUAGACAAUCGGUGACUGAAAUGUCAUAAUUUGUAUCAUAAUGUUACAAGUUUGAAUCCAGCCUGUAUCGCGAUACUGUUAAUGAAAAAUGAUAUUAUAUUUAAUAGUAGUAGAGAAAUAUAUUUUUAUCUAUUAAAGUGGUCCUUUUUUUUUCUUUUUUUUUUUUAUGUUGCAGAUGAGCAGUAGUUUUCAGAAAAUGAUGCCCAUAUGAAACACCCAUAUAAUCACCACAGAAUUAAUUAAAAUUCCCAAACAAAAGCGUUGGAUCAAUUAUGAGAGAAAAGCAAAAAAGAAGGCAAGCUAGAGACACUAAUUUCCCUUUGCAUGUUCUAUGGCUCUUUGAAAGCGAUUCAUAUACCUAUCAAUCUUUUAUUGCAUGUCUUGCAUUUCAUUAAAUUGAUGUGUAGACAUUAUUUUAUAAAAAACGAUACGUAGUUAUCUUGAAUAUAUUAACUAUUUUCAGUUUAUUAUGAUAUCGAGUAGGAUUGAACUAUGAUAAAGUUGAAAGUUCUACUAGUUAGAAAUUUUAAUAAAUUUCAAUUUGUUUUUAUCAAGUAAUUAGAGAUAUAUAGUUUUAAUAACGUGGACAAGUCAUAUUAGACGGAUAGAGAUGAAUUUUAGAUGAAAAAGAGGGAAAUGCAAUAUUGAGAAGAUCAGAUAAGGGUAGCUGAAAAUGGGUUGUACUGAACACGAGAGACUGAUGAUGAUCAAACAGUAGUGCAGUAAAUAUAUAUGAUAUGAAGAGUGAUGUAGUAAGUAAAUAAAUAUAAUGAGUAUUAAUGAAGAAAACUAACGAAGUAGAGGUAAAAUAUAAAAAAUAAGCCAAAAAUCGUUUCAUUAGUAAACUAAAUUAUCAGUUGUGUGUAUGACAAUUAUGGUCUGUUCAGAUAAUUGAAAUUGAUAUGAUUAUGAGAAUAGUAAUUAUCAGACUACUAGUUAUAUAACAUAGUAAUUACGCUAAUCUAGUAAUUACAAGUGUAUUGUUUGGUUGCAAAAAUAUAAUCAUAAGGUUAUGUAUAUUGAAUUUUAAAAAUAAAAAUUAAAAAUUUAUAUUCGACAAAAAAGAGUCUUUAUAAAUGGUAUUAAAUUAAAUGUUUAAGAUAUAUAUUGUCUCUUGAAAAUAUAUUAAUUAAUAAAUAUGUGUUCUUAACUAAUAUUUUAAAAAUAAUUGAUUUAUAUUUUUUAAUUUAGUAUAUUUUAAUUAAAUUAAGAGAAAAUUAUAUAUAAUAGCAAACUAAUAAACUAAAUUAAUUGCUAUAACCAUCCUUUGAUUUAAUUGUGUCCCGUAGCAAACUGUUUGUCAGUCACCUCUCUCCCUCAAACUCUCGCUCGCCACUCUCCUCUCUCGCUCACUUCCUCUCACUUUCAUACAAACACAAGUGUAUAAAAUUUGUUUCUAUUUGCAUAAAGCAGAGGAAAUUAUAUAAAUACAUAUAUUUUUGUUCCUCUCUUCCAGAUCUCGCUCGCCGCUCUCCCUAAUCACGCUCGCCACCCUCGCCUGUCGCGCUUAUACAAACAGAUGCGAAAUGUAUAAAUUGCAUUUCUGUUUGGAUAAAACGAGAGAAAAUUGUAUAUACACAUGUAAAUACAUAUAUUUUCGUCCUAUACACUUAUAAUUAUACAAUAAAAAUCCUUUUUUGCCUAGUUUCUUUUGCCUCUCACUAUUUCUCAUUUUAUACAAAUUCAAAUUGUAUAUAAUUUUUCUCUUUCUCGUGUAAUACAAAACGAUUCAAUUGUAUAUUUCCUGCCCAAGUCUCUUUUGUUCUUUUCUCUUUCUCAUUUUAUACAAAUUCAAAUUGUAUAUAAUCGUUCUAUACACUUAUAAUUAUACAAUUCGUAUUAUACACUUUGUUUUUAUAGAAUUCUCUGCUCAAGUCUCUUUCUCUUUCUCGUUUUAUACACUUCUUUUUAUACAAUUUGCUUCAAUUGUAUAUGUAUAGUGAAUUAUACAUUUAUAUGUUUGCUAUGCGGUGAAAUUAUGCAAAUUUUGUUAUAGCACACAAAUAUUGAUUGUAUGUUGGAUAUAUGUGAAAGUUGCCCUUAAAUUAAUCAUAAAAAUGAAAAGUACAUAAUUUCUAUGAACAUUAUAAUUACACCAAAUCUAAUUAUUAGGAUGGACUUUCCAAGCAGGCCCUUAGAAAUUCGUUUGGUACUGAAGAAUUAAUUUUUCAAUUAGUUUAAUUCUAAAUUUUAUAGAACAAGGGGAAAAUUCAAUAUUAAGCCCAAACUUUUUUUUAUUAUAUUUAAUUAUUUGUAUAAUUAAUUUAUCCCCAAAUUUUAAGAGCCUUACGUAGGAUUUAAAACUGAAAAUGAAGUUUGCAAUAAGAAAUUCCUUACGGAACGGUUUCGAUUGGCCUCGGGAACAGCCAAUUGAUUUCAUUUUUUUUUAGUUUUUAAACAUAUAAAUUUUACUUUAAAAAUUUAAGUAAAUCCUAUUAUUCUCUUUGAACGGUAAAAUAUAUUUCAAUCUAUUUUAUUUGUGUGUUAUACUUCUUUAGUCUAUUUAAUUGAAAAAAAUCGAUUAUUCUACAUUCAAAAAUCUUUAAUUUAGUCAAGAGCAUAAUUUUUUUUAAUAUUUAUUUUCUUAAAUUUUACAUCGAAAAUAACAAAUUAAUAGAACACAUAAUACAUAAAUAUGAUCCAUAAUUUGGUUUUUGAAUGAAUUAGACACUUAAACUUAUAUAAAAUUGAACAAGUAGAGGUAAGUGUCCUACAUGACAUAAUACACGUAAGACGCCAUGUAGGAUAUAAAAUUGCAUAUAGAACGAAUUUGUCCAUUUACUUGAUUUUAUUCAAACUUAUAUUCCUACUUGUGUACACCUAAAUUUAAGAUUAUAAUAAUUAACUGACAUUAUAUUAAAAAUCACGUUUAUGCAUUAUAUAUCGUAGUAGGAUGUGAAUAAGGAUGAUAUGGUCCCUGUAGUGAGGAGAGUACAUAGAAGUGUACAACAAAUUAAUAAGAGAAGCAGAAUUUGAUGUAUGAUGGUGACCACAUAGCACAUGGGAAGCCAUGUUACCCUUUGCAGUUUCACUCACAAUAACUAUACUUUCUACUACUAUUAAACUCAAUAAUUAAACUAGGCCCUCUCUUCAUUCAUAUCAUAUGUAUGUUGUUAUUGCCAUAAAUAUUACUAGUAGUAGUGGAUAAAAACACACACUUCCAACAGACCAACACCAUCAUGCUUCUUUCAUAUUUUCAUCCUAGUAUGAUCUCUAUUAAUUAUAGUAAAACGUCCCAUAGUUAGAACUUCAAAUUGAUGAGUUCAUGAUUUUAUUCCUUUCAAAUUACUGGUUUAAAAAUUAAAAAUUUAAACAUAGUCAGUGAUUUAUUUUUAGAUAAAUACGAUAUUGGACCAUAACUUUUAUUAUUAUGUUUAGAGACGAAAUCAAGAUUUAAAGUUUGAGAAUUCUAAAUUUUAGGAUCGAACGAAAAAAAUAAUACUAUAAAACAUGAUUCUUUUAAAAAAGAAAAUAAUUUGUAUUGUGUUGAUAGUAGAGUUCAAACACAUAACAUUAGUGUGAAAAACAUUUUCACCACUCUUUCUUAUUAUUAAAUUUGUUAGAUAAGUUAAUAUAUAAUAGUAUCUUUUUAAUUUUUUAAUAUAAAUAUAAAAUCUAUAAAAAAAAAAUUGAAUCUAUUCGAAUUCACAACCUUCCACCUAGCUCUGGCUCUAACUACAUUCAAGUGAAAUAUUAGGGCCAACGGGAGAGUGAAGCCUCCUAGGCCAUUGCUUUAGGGGUGUAUGUGUUUGGGGUUAAUUUUAAAACAAAAAUGAAAAGGAUAGUGUAGAAACUACCAAAUAUGUACUCCAUUCAUAUUAAAACAUUAUAAUUGCCGUGUCUUAUUUUUUUCGAAAGUCAAAUUUAAUUAACUUUUUAAAUUAAAUUAAUUUUAUAUCAAAAUUUUAAAUUAUUUUGACUAAAAAUAAUAUAAAAAAUAUUGAAUAUGAGAAUUUUUAAUAGCUCAGUUUGUUAUCUCUCCUUUCCAUACUUUGAUUAUUAUCUUUUAAAAAAGGAUUAAGUAUGGGUCAAAAUUUAUACUUAUUUAAUUUUUUAAUAUUAAAAUUUUAACUUUAGUCCACUAAGAUUUUAAAUAAUCUCACAAAACUCCAAUUCAUGCCGUGAUUACAGAUAUAUUUGUACAAUCUCCAUUUAUCUUUAAUUGUCAUUGUUUUCUUUAUUUAGAAUCAAAUAAAAAAAAUUCAUCCACAUUUUACGAGUUAAUUUACAUCAAAUUAACAUACAAAAAAUGUCAUUUAUAAUAUUUUUUAUAUAAUUUUUAAUUUUUUAAUUUAAAAUAUCAAAUUAUUAUAAUAUAAUAUAAUUUUAAAAAUUAAUCAAAUUAAUAUUUAAAAAUAUAAUAUUAUAAAUAAUGGUAGAAAAAGGGAGCAACUAUUUACCGAUACAAAGAGGUGUAAAAGAGGGAGAGCAGCAGUGCUCAAUUAUAUUGGCGGAGAAAACUAUGAGAAUAUGGCAUGCUCAUCAUUGGACUUCACAAUUUAAUUCAACUUUUCUGUUUUUCCAAACAAAAAUAUACUCCCUUUGGUUAUAGAUUUCUUAAAUAUUAUUUUAAAAAAAUUUAACAAAUAAUAUUUAUUUAUACAGUUUAUUAUUAUUUGAUAAAUAUUUUAAAUUUUUAAAUACUAAUUUUUUAUAAUAUUUGAGUCAAAUUUCAUUAUUUGAGAUCUUUCAAAAAUUGAAAUUUUAUCUUUUACAAAAAUAUUCUCUAUACUAGUUGUUUACGUUAUAUUAUAUAAUUUUUUAUGUUGACAUCAAAAAAUUGAUGAAAUAUUUAAUGAAUAUUAAAUGAUGAUAUGAUUAAUAAUGAACAAUCGACUCAGGAUAACAAAGUCAUGUAAUUUGUCGAAUUCAUGAUAUAUGUUGUUGCACUCUUUUCAAAUACUAUGGCCAAACACAUGGCAUAAUUUCACCCAAAUUUUUUACCCAAAUAAUAUUUGCCAAAAAUAUUUAGAAAUCUAUAGCCAAACGCUAGCUGAGUUUUUUAUUUUAUUUUUCUACCAUAUUAAAAAUAGUUAUUCAAUACUUUUUCCGUUUCUAAUUAUUUAUUUAGUUUUUCUUUUAUAGUUAUUUUUAAUUAUUUAUCUAUUUUGACAAAUUAAAUAGUAGUAAUUUUUUUACCUAUUAUAUCCUCAAUUAAUUAUUUUAAAAAAAAUAAAAAAAAUUUAAAAAUUUUAAAUUUUAAAUUCAUCGACUUUAUAAUCAAGAAAAAGUUAUAUACUCCUUUGACAAUAAUUAUUUUUUAAUAAGUUGGUGUUUAGUAUUGUUUCAUAAAGUGUACUCAAAGUCAUUAUUGUUUGGACAAAGAAAAAGUAGUAAAACUACCGAAAGAAUUGAUAGACAUUUGUAUCAAAAAUAGCAAAUUUAAAUAUAUUGAAACACAUUUAAUAAUUAACUUCUCUCUUAGGGUGUUUGAAAAAACACCACUUCAAGGGGAAAAAAAAUUCCAACUAACCCGUAAAAAAACACUACUAAUAUCCAUGUGAUUCCUAGGUCAGGGUUAGAGGAAUUUCACAAAGUAAUAAACAAAUAAUUAAGAAAAAAAUAAGUGAAAAGAAAGACGUUACAAAAAAAAAAAAAAAGAAGCAAAAAGACUAAUUUAACUUGCUUCAUCUUGAACACAUCUUUCUUAAUUCACUCCAAAAUACCUAAUAUUCACCUUUUUUUUUCUUCAAAUUACUUUAUUAUCUCAGCAUUGAAGUAAGCGUUUGGAAAACAAAUUCUUCACAAGGAAUUGUAAUUCCCAUGUCAUGAUCGAACCCAAAUUCUUCCUCAGCGCAACGAAGGAGACAUUGAAACUCAGGAUGACUCAAAAAAGAAAUAGGUACGAUGUAUCGACUUCUAUUUUCUCCAACGUAUACUGCAAAAUGUCCUUUUGGUACGUCAAUAGGAAGAUGGUCUUCAUUUUUUUUACCCAAACUUGAACACUUUUUCAGAAUUUGCUUCAAAACAGGAGAUUGUGACAAUUUAUUUGAUUUUUUGAUGGCCAUUUUAGUAUGUUUUUCUUGAAGAAAGUUGAGAGCUUUAGUAUGAAUUCUUAGCUUUGAGAGAAUAAGAAUGAUACUAAACAAGUGGUGGUUAGGAUAGAGGGAAGUGAACCUAUUUAUGGACAAACUUCC
rnacentral:lncRNA from 1 species